rnacentral:rRNA from 1 species
GAUGAACGCUGGCGGCGUGCUUAACACAUGCAAGUCGAACGGAAAGGCUCCUGCUUGCAGGGGUACUCGAGUGGCGAACGGGUGAGUAACACGUGGGUGAUCUGCCCUGCACUUCGGGAUAAGCCUGGGAAACUGGGUCUAAUACCGGAUAGGACGAUGGUUUGGAUGCCAUUGUGGAAAGUUUUUCGGUGUGGGAUGAGCUCGCGGCCUAUCAGCUUGUUGGUGGGGUAAUGGCCUACCAAGGGGUCGACGGGUAGCCGGCCUGGGAAGGGGUACGGGCACCAUGGGGCUGAGGGACGGGCCAGACUCCUACGGGAGGCAGAAGGGGGGAAUAUUGCCCAGUGGGCGCAAGUCUGAUGCAGCGGCGCCGGGUGGGGGAUGACGGCCUUCGGGUUGUAAACUCCUUUCGCUAGGGACGAAGCGCAAGUGACGGUACCUGGAGAAGAAGCACCGGCUAACUACGUG